rnacentral:rRNA from 1 species
AGAGUUUGAUCCUGGCUCAGGACGAACGCUGGCGGCGUGCCUAAUGAAUGCGAGUCGAACGAGAACCAGAGGAUGCGCUUGCGCAACUUCUGGGGAAAGUGGCGAACGGGUGAGUAACACGUGGGUAACCUGCCUUUGAGACGGGAACAACAGGAGGAAACUCCUGCUAAUACCCGAUAUUCUGGCCGUACACAAGCACGGUCAGGAAAGCUCAGGCGCUCAGAGAUGGGCCCGCGGCCGAUUAGCUAGUUGGUGAGGUAACAGCUCACCAAGGCGACAAUCGGUAGCCGACCUGAGAGGGUGACCGGCCACCUGGGACUGAGACAUGGUCCAGACUCCUACGGGAGUUAGCAUCAGGGAAUCUUGCUCAAUGGGCGCAAGCCCCGAAGCAGCGACGCCGCGUGGGUGAUGAAGGUCUGCGGAUCGUAAAGCCCCUGCCCGGAGGGAAGAAUUCUGACUGUA